AGCUUUGCACAGUGGCAGUAUCGUAGCCAAUGAGGUUUAUCCGAGGCGCGAUUAUUGCUAAUUGAAAGACACAGUAGUUAGUGUGAAUCUACAGUCCUCAGAAUGGGAAAAUGUUUUUGUAAAUUAUGCAUCAGAUAA
ensembl:snRNA U4 U4 spliceosomal RNA